UAAAAGAAAGAAAGUGAGAGCAACAAUAACAGACCCUUCAUCGUCCUCACUCCCUCAACGUCCUCACUCUCUCAAUCGCUCACACCUCUCUCAAUUGCUCUCUCAAUCGCUCAUCAUCUAUCAGUUGCUCUCUCAAUCGCUCAUCAUCUCUCAGUUGCUCUCUCAAUCGCUCAUCAUCUCUCAGCCGUCUCUCACAUUAGCCUCACGACACUACCCAAGAAAUGCACAAAUCUAUGGUUUCAAAAGGGAAUUGAGUAAAAAUCUCACCUUCGGCGGUGACGACGGCGACGGUGAAGCUUAAAUCUUCCUUCUUCGCCUUUUCAAUCCAGCAGAUUAGGGUUUCGGGUUGGCCUAUGCAGAUCAAAACAAGUAUCUCUGCGAAAUCCUUUUGGUGCUCAGAAUUUCGGUCUGCCUCUUUGAUGCUUGUUCUGGAAUGUGAAAACUUAGUAAAAGCAUGAGCAACUUCGGUUUACAGAUUUCUUCUUCUACUUUGUGAUACCUGCUAUAGCACAGCAUUGUGGCUUUGAAUGGAGGUCAACCAACCAAUUAGUAAGGGAGGAUUCAGGUUGUGGCUUUGAAUCAUGCUGUUGGAGGUUAGGUGGAUAUCAUUUGGCUAAGUUUUCUUUUCUGUCAUGAGUUUAUUUAAAUUGGUAUGAUAUGCAAUGAGUUGUGGAAUUGGAUUUGAACUUGUCUUAUAGAAUUAGAUUAAUGCUUAUGGACUUGUCUUAUGGAAUUGGAUUGAUGCUUAAAUUAGUGUAGGAUUUGGGAUUGUCAUUGACUAUGUUGUAUUGGAUUGGAAUUGGGAUUUGAUGUGAAUUUUAAUUGAAUGCUUUGGAUUGGACUGUUGUAGGUUGUUUCAUUUUGUAGUGAUGAUGGUGUCUAGCUGGCUUGGUAUGUUUACUGCUGCUAUGCUAUGUACAACAUGCAUGUUUUUCUGUUAUGAAAGUUUUGCAGGUUAAGGUUGGUUUAAGAUGGCCGCACGUGAAGGACGGGUUAGAAGAUGUUGAGAAGAUGAAUUGAAGGAGAGGUUGGAGAUGAUGGGAGGAAGUUGAAUUUGUUAUGAUUCUAUUCAAUUCCUAUUAUGGAACGAAAAGCGUCGCUGUCAUAGCUUAUUGGAGAACUGUUUUGGAGUUGUUAUAAGUUUAGGAUGGGAUUACUUGAUGUCUUGUUAUUUGUUGGCUGCUGCAGCUUUGAUUAAUGUGAAUAUGCCUGGGACUGAUACAGGUUAUUGACCGUUGAUGUUUGUGCAGGAUCCUUUGGUUUGCACUUGCAGGUGUGAUGCAUUGGAGGUAUGCCGGUGUGCAGGUUCUGCUGGUUUUCCUAUUGCAACAACACUUGUUGGCUAUCUUGUUAAGAAGGUUUGUGGAAAUGGGUUGCUGGUUUACGAAAGGUCUCCGACGAAUCUUGAUGAAGAAAUGAAGCCUAUUCCAAAUUGUGUGGUGUGAGGUUACUGUCAUGGUUGUUUUUCCAGCAGGGUCAUGGCAUUUGGAUGGUGUGACUUCUAGCUCGAAUUGGUAAUGAUAGGAUUCGAAUGGUUGGUGUGGUGCGCAUUGCAAUCCUAUCGUUGCAUUUGGAAGUGUUGCCGGUGGUUCGGAUCCUGUACUCUGGAUUCAUGCAGUGGCUAGGUGCCUGAAUAUCUUGCCAUGGAAGUGACUGAAACGCUGCAGCCAUGUUGACAGACCAUAGAUUUGUGUAG